ensembl:snRNA U12 U12 minor spliceosomal RNA
AUGCCUUCAACUUAAGAGUAAGGAAAAUAACGAUUCGGGGUGACGCCUGAAUCCUCAUUGCUAAUGUGAGACGGAUUUUUGAGCAGGUAAAGGUUGCUCCUAAGGUGACCCGCCUACUUUGCGGGAUGCCUGGGUGCUGCGAUCUGCCCG